rnacentral:rRNA from 1 species
CCUUAYYAUUUANAGGAAGGAGAAGUCGUAACAAGGUUUCCGUAGGUGAACCUGCGGAAGGAUCAU